rnacentral:rRNA from 1 species
AGAUCGGGAUAACACCUGGAAACAGAUGNCUAAUACCGGAUAAUAACAGAUGAUGCCUAUCAACUGUUUAAAAGAUGGUUCUGCUAUCACUCUUGGAUGGACCUGCGGUGCAUUAGCUAGUUGGUAGGGUAACGGCCUACCAAGGCGAUGAUGCAUAGCCGAGUUGAGAGACUGAUCGGCCACAUUGGGACUGAGACACGGCCCAAACUCCUACGGGAGGCAGCAGCA